rnacentral:lncRNA from 1 species
AGAACUGCAAAGUGGAGAUAUAGAGUGAAUGGAGGGAGAAAAAGAGUCAUUAUUAUCUCCGACAAGUCAUCAGAACCAGCGACUUAUUCAUCUUCUUAAUUAACUCAAGGUGAGAAGGAAUAAUAUGAGAAGCAACUACGGUGAAGUCUUUUCAUUGCGUUUUAUGUUUCUUUCUUUUGAAAGACAAGCACUACAUAAAGUUCAAUUAAGAAGAAAUAUGGAAAUUGUUACAGUUCAGCACUUCAGCCACUGAUUGCAAGGUGAAAGCACAUGGUAUCAGUUCGAGAAGUAUACCAGUAGCAUUAAAUUUCUUAGAUUUAUAUGUUCAUGUACAAAAAAAUCCUCCCACUUUGAGGCCAUCCAAGUAAAGAUCAUUUUUUCCAGGGGCGGAUCUAGCUCACAUUUGUAGAUUUCUAGAAACCUAAGGCGU